UCCAUCGAACCAUCUCAUAUUUACAUUCUCAAGAUCCAAACCAUCAAUAUGUUCCAUUAUAAUCCCUGCUGUGCUGUGGUUCACAAGUCCCUGACAUCCUGGCCGAUAGUCAACCAACCCUCCCAUGUAUUUCGUCCAUCGUUUGUAUGUUAAGUUAAUGUUGAUGAAUCUCAAAUUCCUUAGCAGUCCACCUUUAGAACCUGAUAAGAAGAUACCGUUUUCGGAAACUGCGGAGAUGUUUACGAAGUUCAAGUUGGAGAUUGAACCCUCUGAUGAAUCUGAGUGCCGUGGGCAAGUCGUGACAUAAAUCGGUUCCGCCCUCCCCCACCAUGACGGAUCAUAGUAUCUCGUGCUGAUGUUUAUGUUUGAGAAAGUAACGUCACUUACAUUUCCUGCACAAACCAAAAAUUGUUCACUAAGCUAGCGUAAAACCAGGUAAUAUUGACGAUCAAAGAAGAAAAAAAACGAAAACCAGAUAGCGUUACCUCCAUCACGUAUCUGCAAUGCGAGCCCUCUAUGAGAAUCUACAAUAGUAAUGUUGUCAAAGACCAAAUUGUUUAACUCAAACCAGCUAGCACUUCCAAGUUUAAUUGCAGAAGAUUUGGUUCGAAUCCAGGAGUUGGUUGCAGUUAAGUUAUAUAGAGGGGAAGUGUAUGUCUUGGGGCAUAUAGCAUCAUCUCCUGUAUCAAUGUGGCAUCUUGUAAUCACUGUAUUAUUUGAAUCCUCAAUGUCUAUUCCAUCAUUG
rnacentral:lncRNA from 1 species